GUAAACGUCAAAAACUCCAUUCCAAUUCCCCUGUACCCAUAUCAUAUAUACUCUAUAGAUAGAAUCAUAUACAUUUAUCUUAUCUCAUUCUAUCCCUAGUUUUUCUACUCUUUGUCAGCAUAAAAGCGAGUUUAAUAUUUUGUAACUGCAACUGUAUGAUGGUGCUUACAGGAAAGCUUAAUUCCCUUUUGCAAACAAAACUGUUACUACCGAUGCUGCUACCAAAUUGCUGAUGGAGAAGGAAUUAUAAGAAGACAUUGAUCAUUGUGUUGAUGAUAAUGUGCUUCCUUUAGAAACACUGACUGCCCUGAAACGACUGAAAACUUGGAAAAGAGCAUGCAUGAGUGGCGAGAGAUUGUGCGGGCUUGCCAUGUUCAUCGCGAUAAGGAUAUCAGCAGACCAAAUUAUGAUUCUGAAACGAGUUGACUGAACCGGCCAUAGAAAAAUUUGGCAAACUCUACUGAAUCGAUGUUUGUUCUAUGUUCUGGUAGCAG
rnacentral:lncRNA from 1 species